rnacentral:lncRNA from 1 species
AACAGAUUGUUUUGUUUUAUUGCCAUUGUCUGGAAGGUGAAGAACAGUAUCACGUGCUGAGGAUGGAAAGCUGAAGCCAAACCUUUACCUGAGUUCCCAGUUGAGAAAGUAACAGCCAUAACCCAACCUGAGGCAGAGCUUCCACAAAACACAGGCCAUGAAGUCUCCUACCAUCUCCUUGUAGACUGGGCUCCCAUAGAUCGUAGUUUUCUCUCUGCUUCAAUACUCUGAAAGAUCAAACGUCAUCUAGAGUUUCAUAGAACCUUUUAGUACUUUACUCCUUCUGAAGAGUCUUAGUUAGUCAGUUCUGGAAUCACAGGCACUGAAAGAGCUCCAUCUGACCCAAGAAAGCAACCAGUAUGCUGUUUUAAAUUGUGACUGCAACUCAGAUCCUCCUUUGAGCUGGACAUUCCACUCCUACCUGUAUGGUUUUCCUUAUCAUCAAAAGACUGUUCCAGUCAGUCGAUCUUGCCUGUUUUCCCUGCAUUUAAUUCCUCUUACUAUUGUUUUUUCUAUUUAUUUAAGCUACCAGGAGGCAAGAAGCACCUGUGACUAGAGAAAACAACCCGCUUUUGUCCAAAUCCCUCCUCGAGCAGCCUAAUGGUGACUCACUCUCCUAUGAUCUCCUUUCACCUUUUCUUUUAGCUCUGAAAAACAAUGGGCAAUGUCACUGUGGCCUUCUGAAAUCCAUUACCACUGCUGCAAAGCAGGACUAAAUGGGAGGACAAGGAACUAAAUCAUCUCAAACCCCAUUCAAGUCGUCUUCUUCAUACAUGGCUUUCUUUAAGCAAGACUCUGUGCACGAGGGGUGCUUUGCAGAACAAAAGACAAGUGCCACUUCCCAAGAGACCUGAAGUUCUAUUUUUAGAAAUGAUGCAACACCAGAGAGAAGCGGCUGCUGUGAGGAAGGGCAUCACGAGACUGAUGGUGCUCGAUGGUCCUGCUUUAUUUUGCUCUCCCCUCCCUCUUUGAAGACCUCCGUGCAGCAGGGCCGGGAGCAGGAUUUCUUUGGGGAGAGGUGGGAUGAAGCUGGUCAGGGCCUGAGAGCAGCAUGAAAGAACUGAAUGGUGUUGAGACAUA